UGAGGAAUAUUGGGCAAUGCCCGCAAGGGUGACCCAGCAACGCCGCGUGGAGGAUGAAUGUCGUAAGAUUGUAAACUCCUGUUAGAGGGGAAGAAUAGUACCGGUUGGACCGGUAUAUGACUGUACCCUCAGAGAAAGCCCCGGCUAACUACGUGCCAGCAGCCGCGGUAAUACGUAGGGGGCAAGCGUUGUCCGGAUUUACUGGGUGUAAAGGGCGCGCAGGCGGGAUAAAAAGUCAGUGGGGAAAUCCUACAGCUUAACUGUAGAACUGCCUUUGAUACUUUUAUUCUUGAGUUCGGGAGAGAGAGACGGAAUUCCAGGUGUAGUGGUGAAAUACGUAGAUAUCUGGAAGAACACCAGUUGCGAAGGCGGUCUCUUGGUCCGACACUGACGCUGAGGCGCGAAAGCGUGGGGAGCAAACA
rnacentral:rRNA from 1 species